rnacentral:rRNA from 1 species
UCGUGGAGUGAUUCGUCUGCUUAAUUGCGAUAACGAACGAGACCUCGUCUUACUAAAUAGGAAAGUUUAGGCCUAUAUGUCAGGGCUUAGGAGAAGUGGUGGGGGUAAAACCUCACUAACCUUCUGGGUUUUGGCUGGUUUCUAGACAAUAUUUUCUUCUUAGAAGUACAACCACUAUAAGGUGGUGGAAGUGCGAGGCAAUAACA